rnacentral:rRNA from 1 species
UACAGAGGGGGGCAAGCGUUAUUCGGAAUUAUUGGGCGUAAAGGGGCGCGUAGGCGGCCUGGCAAGUGGAAGGUGAAAGUCCCUCGGCUUAACCGAGAACUGCCUUCCAAACUGCUUGGCUUGAGUCCGGGAGAGGUGAGUGGAAUUCCCAGUGUAGCGGUGAAAUGCGUAGAUAUUGGGAGGAACACCAGUGGCGAAGGCGGCUCACUGGACCGGAACUGACGCUGAUGCGCGAAAGCGUGGGGAGCAAACGGG